ACAAUGGCAGGGGCUGAGCUCACAGUGGAGCCAUGGCCCGUAGCCACCGCUCCUGCUGCCCCCGAGCGGGGCUGACAGCUGCCCGCGGAGCCUUGGGCAGUGGAGGUGGGACCCCGAGACAACGGCCCCCGGAUCAGCUCCGGCUCCUGCCGCUGUCAGAGCCCAGGCCCGCCCGGCAGCCGAUGGAGGCGCUUAAAUCCCCCUGUUCCCAAGGAAUGGCCGUUGUUGCUGCACCUCAUUAGUGCCCCCGUCCCUUCGCUGGCACGGCUGCCUCCCUGCGCAGCGGUUCUGCCUACCCGUGUGACCCUUCUGCCGGGGGGCGGCCACAGCAGCAAGGGUCGAGGUCAAACAGCAACUGGCCCGUUUUAAAACUAAAAAACGCGACGGGCUUGAGCCCCCACCCAGAAUUGUUGGGAUCACACAGUACUUGCCAGCUUCCCCAAAGCACUGAGGUCGUAUAGAAAACAAAUCUUUAUUAAGAGAAAAAGAAAAGUGUAUUGGUGUAAAUGAGUAAGUAAAAUACGCACUGGAGGUAACUUUGGCAGUAGUCUGUGUAACUCAGUUCCACACCCAAGGACGGGAAUGUUCCCUUUACCACACAUUUUUUCCCUGUCCCCAUCUGCUAAACCAUACUCAUCAUUUGGUGUCAGUGAGUAGCAUUAUCCCAUCAUCCGAACAUGCACUGUGGCAUGAUAGUACUCUUCCAGUGCUUUGGGAAAUGCUGCCUCAUCCCAUCCCAAGGCGCCACUAAUUAAAUCAUCUUUCAUCUUUAUUUAGGACAAAACUAUCCUGCUUUGCUGACAAUAAAACCACCCCAACAAGAGGCAUAGAGCAUUUUGUGGCAAAUUUAGAUUGACAAAGUAUCAAUGUAGACACUCGGCUUGGUUAUGUUACCAUAAAUGGCUCCCAGGAGGUGUCCCACAAUGCCCAGCCUGACUGCUCUGGUCAGCAGUUUGAACUCUGCUGCCCUGCAGACAGGCAUCUGCUCCUCCCUCUUUAAAGGACAGGGAAUUUUUGAAAUUCCACUUUGUUUGCUUAGUGUGGACAGCUAACAUUGCAUCUUUACAGCUGACCAUGGCAGCUCCACGCAGCAAAAGCUCUCCCACCUGGAGCACACCAGAGUUGUUCAAUCUGCUGGGUCUGUAGGGAGAGGAGACUGUGCAGUCCCAGCUCCACUCCAGCUGUAGGAACUUUGAUACUUAUGGUCAGAUUUCUUAUGGCAUGAUGGAUAAGGGCUACAAACAGGAUAUCAAUCAGUGCUGUGCGAAGAUCAAGGAGCUGAGGCAGGUGUACCAGAAGGCAGAGGAGUUAAACAAUUGGUCUGGUGCUGUGCCAAAGAGCUGCCGUUUCUAUUAGGACCUGGACACCAUCCAUCCUCGGUGGCAACCCGAUCCUACCUCCAUCGCCAAGAGCCCCAUGAAUACUUCAGCAGGGCUGGAGAUAGCGGCCAGUGGACUCAACCCCAAGGAUGAAGUGGUGGAAGAAGAAGUAGGUUGCAGGAUGAGAUGGGACAGACAACUGGUUCAUCUGGUACUGUGAUUAGCCAGGAUUUCUUCUCAAUGGCAGAGGGUUCAAGCCAGUCCUAGUGCUCUGUCUGUGACGCGCAUGAUGCAGGAAAGGGGACCUCUGCCUGGAGCACAACAGGUAGAGCAAACCAGAAUGAGAUGCUGCCACACCUGAUCCCAGGACCAGUCCUUUAUUAGCCAGUUGUCGAGGUAUGGGUAAAUUUGAACACCAAUGCCUCAGUUGCUCAGAUGGGGAGUCCCCCAGGACCUAGACUGGGGAGGUGGAGGAGGCGGAGGAGAGAACGGCUUCCUAGCCUGCUGAGGGGUAUGAAGGCCCAAGGAGCAGAGCGUGGCCCGAGAGUCUUUAAAGUUGUGGAGCCUUGCACCCAUGAACUCAGAGAAGAACUCUCUUCCCUUAAACGGGAGGUCCUGUAUGAUGGGUGGCAUCUCCUGGGAUAAUCUGGAGGACUGUAGCCAAGAGCUGUGCCUCAUUACCACCACAGAGGCGACAACCCUGGCUGCCGAGUCCGUAGCAUCCCAGACCAUCUGGAGGGCACCUUUCAUUACCGCUUUGCCUUCCUACACUAAAGCGGUGAACUCCUGGGCUCAGUCAGUGGCUUAGCCAGCUUCUAAGAGGAGGAAGAGCAAACAUAAAAAAGGCGCCCCCCCCCC